GGGCGAGUAGCUCAGCGGGAGAGCGCCUCUCUUACACAGAGGAGGUCGGGGGUUCGAGACCCUCCUCGCCCACCA
rnacentral:tRNA from 1 species